GAUGAAGAACGUAGCGAAAUGCGAUAAGUAAUGUGAAUUGCAGAAUUCAGUGAAUCAUCGAAUCUUUGAACGCACAUUGCGCCCCCUGGUAUUCCGGGGGGCAUGCCUGUCCGAGCGUCAUUACAACCCUCAAGCUCAGCUUGGUGUUGGGCCCCGCCGCCCCGGCGGGCCCUAAAGUCAGUGGCGGUGCCGUCCGGCUCCGAGCGUAGUAAUUCUUCUCGCUCUGGAGGUCCGGUCGUGUGCUCGCCAGCAACCCCAAUUUUUUUCAGGUUGACCUCGGAUCAGGUAGGGAUACCCGCUGAACUUAAGCAUAUCAAUAAGCGGAGGA
rnacentral:misc_RNA from 1 species